rnacentral:rRNA from 1 species
UACGUAGGAGACGAGCGUUGUCCGGAAUUACUGGGCGUAAAGCGCGUGUAGGCGGAUAAGCAAGUCUGCUGUGAAAGCUCCUGGCUUAACCGGGAGUGGUCGGUGGAAACUGCUCGUCUGGAGGACGGUAGAGGUAGGUAGAAUUCCCGGUGUAGUGGUGAAAUGCGUAGAGAUCGGGAGGAAUACCUGUGGCGAAGGCGGCCUACUGGGCCGGACCUGACGCUGAGACGCGAAGGCGUGGGGAGCGAACGGG